CUGCCCCAUUGAAUUCUACUUACACAGUUUUACAAGUGUGAGUAAAGUUAUAUAUACAAGUUGGUGGCUGAUAAGUUCUUGUAGUGACCCCUGACCCCGUGGUUCUUAUUGGUUAAUAGUAGCUUAGAGCAUCUGCACCAAUCAUAAAGCACCAAGUUUGGAGCUCGUGGGUCUCUGCAAGUAAGUCCCUGUAAUGUUGGCCAAGCCUGAUAUACUAGAAACAUCUGUCAUUACCAGCAGAUGAAGCUGCCCUUAAAGCAGGAUCUCACUUUAAACCUGACAAAAGAAUUUGCUAUUAGCAUACUAUGGUUAUAUGUCUCUCUCUCCUGUCCCUCACCUGUCUGCCUGGGCGGAGCUCAGCUGGGCUCCGCCCUUGGCCCACACACCUGCUGUGAAUCUACCUGAUGACCUGGACUCCUGGGCUAUUUAAGCUGAGGCUCAGAAGGCUUCUUCGCUGGGUGGUGGACUUACUCUCGUCAGUACAGCCCCGAUAAACCCCGUUUGUCCUGUGAUUACUCUGUUUAUGCUCACCGCAGUUCUCUUGUGCUCAGGUUCUCGCACUCGUCCGUGACCCCGAUCUGUUUCCCUGGUGGCGUGGAGUGGAGUGAGAGUGAGUGUGCUGAAAACAAAUACGAGAGGGGCGAGUGAGCGGAGCGAGUGUUGGACUUUGUCCCUUUUCCCCUGGACCAUUGCACAUCCUGCCCUGUACACGUGGGGUUUGUAAAUAAAUGGACAGAGUUCAUGUUCAUGGACAUCAGGAUAAAAACAGAAGAUGGAAACCUGCCAGAUUUGAGCUGCUCAUGUGUCGUCCCUGGGCAGGUCACAUGACUCUAUCCAACACACAAAGACACACAGACACACAAGAAAAGCCAGAGAAACAAAGACAAAUCCAAACAAUCCAUCAUACUGAGUUAAAGUGAUCACA